UACAGAGGGUGCGAGCGUUAAUCGGAAUUACUGGGCGUAAAGCGUGCGCAGGCGGUUGUGCAAGACAGAUGUGAAAUCCCCGGGCUCAACCUGGGAACUGCAUUUGUGACUGCACGGCUGGAGUGCGGCAGAGGGGGAUGGAAUUCCGCGUGUAGCAGUGAAAUGCGUAGAUAUGCGGAGGAAUACCGAUGGCGAAGGCAAUCCCCUGGGCCUGCACUGACGCUCAGGCACGAAAGCGUGGGGAGCAAACAGG
rnacentral:rRNA from 1 species